rnacentral:rRNA from 1 species
UGGGGAAUCUUGGACAAUGGGGGCAACCCUGAUCCAGCGAUGCCGCGUGUGUGAAGAAGGCCUGCGGGUUGUAAAGCACUUUUAUUGGGGAAGAAGGGGUUCUGGCUAAUAUCUGGAAUCAUUGACGUAACCCAAGGAAUAAGCACCGGCUAACUCCGUGCCAGCAGCCGCGGUAAUACGGAGGGUGCGAGCGUUAAUCGGAAUUACUGGGCGUAAAGCGUGCGUAGGCGGAGCGUUAAGUCUGAUGUGAAAUCCCUGGGCUCAACCUGGGAACAGCAUUGGAUACUGGAGGUCUAGAGUGUGGCAGAGGGUAGUGGAAUUCCCGGUGUAGCGGUGAAAUGCGUAGAUAACGGGAGGAACACCAGUGGCGAAGGCGGCUGCCUGGGCCAACACUGACGCUAGUGCACAAAAACGUGGGGAGCAAACAG